GUCUGUUUGGUAAUAUUUACAGUCUGGCCUGCCCACUGAAUUUUUAAAGGCCGCGGUAUAAUGACCGUGCGAAGGUAGCAUAAUAAUUAGUCUUUUAAUUGAAGACUGGAAUGAACGGUCGGACAAAAAGUAACCUGUCUCAGGUUUAUAAAUUGAAAUUAACUUUUAAGUGAAAAGGCUUAAAUAAUCUUAAAAGACGACAAGACCCUAUAAAACUUUAUUUAACUAAGUUUUAUUUUUAAUUUAUAAGUAUAAAAAAAAAUAAUACUUAAUUAUAUUUCGUUGGGGCGACGAAAGCAUACAUUUAACUGCUUUAUUAUCAAAACAAUUAUAUUUGAUUAUUAUGACCCUUUUUUAAGAUCUAAAGAAAAAGUUACUUUAGGGAUAACAGCGUUAUUUUUUUUGAGAGUUCAUAUCGACAAAAAAGUUUGCGACCUCGAUGUUGAAUUAAAGUCCCACUAUAGUGCAGUAAUUAUAUAGGUAGGUCUGUUCGACCUUUAAAACUUUACAUGAUUUGAGUUCAAACCGGUGUAAG
rnacentral:rRNA from 1 species